CUACGGACUUAAUUGGAUUGAGCCUUGGUAUGGAAACUUACUAAGUGAUCACUUUCAAAUUCAGAGAAACCCUGGAAUUAACAAAAAUGGACAAUCCUGAGCCAAAUCCUGUUUUCCGAAAACAAACAAAGGUUCAGAAAAAAAAAAAAGGAUAGGUGCAGAGACUCAAUGGAAACUAUUCUAACAAAUGGAGUUAAAUGCGUUGGUAGAGGAAUCUUUACAUCGAAACUUCAGAAAGAAAAAGAAUGAAGUG
rnacentral:ncRNA from 1 species